rnacentral:rRNA from 1 species
UACGUAGGGCGCAAGCGUUAUCCGGAAUUAUUGGGCGUAAAGAGCUCGUAGGCGGUGUGUCACGUCGUUCGUGAAAACCUGCAGCUUAACUGUGGGCGUGCGGUCGAUACGGGCAUCACUGGAGUUCGGCAGGGGAGACUGGAAUUCCUGGUGUAGCGGUGAAAUGCGCAGAUAUCAGGAGGAACACCGGUGGCGAAGGCGGGGUCUCUGGGCCGUAACUGACGCCUGGAGGAGCGGAAAAGCAUGGGGAGCGAACAGG